GAUGAACGCUGGCUACAGGCUUAACACAUGCAAGUCGAGGGGAAACGACGGGGAAGCUUGCUUCCCCGGGCGUCGACCGGCGCACGGGUGAGUAACGCGUAUCCAACCUGCCUCUGACUGAGGGAUAACCCGUCGAAAGUCGGCCUAAUACCUCAUGGCAUCGUCUGCGGGCAUCCAACGACGAUUAAAGAUUUCAUCGGUCAGAGAUGGGGAUGCGUCUGAUUAGCUUGUUGGCGGGGUAACGGCCCACCAAGGCGACGAUCAGUAGGGGUUCUGAGAGGAAGGUCCCCCACAUUGGAACUGAGACACGGUCCAAACUCCUACGGGAGGCAGCAGUGAGGAAUAUUGGUCAAUGGGCGAGAGCCUGAACCAGCCAAGUAGCGUGCAGGAUGACGGCCCUAUGGGUUGUAAACUGCUUUUAUGCGGGGAUAAAGUGAGGGACGUGUCCUUCAUUGCAGGUACCGAAUGAAUAAGGACCGGCUAAUUCCGUG
rnacentral:rRNA from 1 species